AGAAGAGAGAGCUCUUUCAGUGAACUAAUCAGAAAACAUGAUCUGAUCGUCUGAGUUCCUGUGGUCCGUUCUUCAUAUCAUAUUCACAGACACCAGAUCUUCUAAUCCUGAUAACUGAUCUCUGGCUGAUUUGGUUCUUCAAACGAAUUUGCAGAUUUGAUUACAAUAUCUGCAUUAAGUUGUCUGAGAUUACUGUGUGUUCUUGUGUUCAUCAGAAAGGGCAGAUAUAUCGAUACUCAAAACCAUGAUCAGCAAUGCAGCGUUUGGCUGGCGGCAAGACAGCAAAGUAAUGACAUCAUUAAGAACAUCACACUCCUGACCAAAAACUUGAUGAAUUUCUGGACCUUUAUAAGGAAACAGCUAAGCGACUAAAGCGAAACAAAACUAUAAUAGGUAAAUGAAAUGUGUACAGUUUGUUACAUGAUUCUCAAUUAUUUCCAUUAUUUCAUGAUUUCUAGUAUUUGUACAGACUUUACAUUUUAUUCCAAUGUUGUAAUUAGUAAUUCAUUUAAUUUUACCUGUGAAGCAGAUUUGUUACGUGACAGCGGCAAUAAAAGUUUCUUAUGGGUCAAGAACAUUUUUCUAAUGGCAUUUUUCUAAAUUAUUAUUGUCCCUGGGUAAUUAGGGGUACUCUUUUAUGAAAGUAGCAAUGACUAGGACAAACUUUAAGUAUCACCUUUGUUUACAUGAAAUAAGCUGCUUAUGAGCAGGUUUGAGCUUACAGACCCUGUAUCAUGUCAAAUCAUCAACAGUAUGUAGCCGGCGAGGUGACUACAACUAUUAAAGGGCGUGGCCAUGUAGGUAAUUGGUGGGUUUUUAAGCAGGCACCUAGAAGGGUACCUGGAGAUGGGGUCCGAUCUUUUGUGUGGAAGCGUGUUGCCUCGUAGUGGUGUUUGUGCACGGAUAUGGUCUGAAUGAGCAGAUGUAAACAUUGUGCUGCCUGGUACCGCUUCCGUGUUGGUUUGUGUAUGGACACUGUUUGGGUGAACAGGUGUAAACAUCAUGGAUUUAGCAGCUGCUGGUCACGCCCGUCCUCGUUUGAUCUCGGAUAUUAGUCCGUGGUUCGUGGCUGUGUUGCAGGUAAUCAGAGAGGGUAUUUAUAAUAUUUAAGUGGUUUGAUUUUAUUAUUUUUAAUGAUAUUAAAGAAAAAUGUGAUUAUGUGGAGUAUUGUUAAUUGUGUUUUUGUUUAUUUUCAUAUUUGUUUAUUUUCAUAUUAGGUUUAGUUAAUCGCUGUUCCUCCUAUGUUUGUUUUUGUUUUUCUUGCUAGCCCGUCCUUGCAUGUGCGCGCUGUAUGCCUCCAGCGCAAUUAAAGUUUAUGAUUGUUGUAUGAACUGGACUGGCUAGCGGGGUUUUUUUUGUAUUUUUUAUUUUUUUCUCUUUGUUUGUAUCACUUCCCAGCCUCGUGUUGCCAGCCAACCUCUAUAUUCCCUAAAUCAGAUUGAUGCUCUACAACACAUGAACUAUUCUUUUGCAUGAGGUUUAUGUUUGCAGUGUAAUUAUUUGAGUGUUGUUUUUGAGUGUUGUAUUUAUUUAAUAUGAUUUUUGGAGUUGUUUAUGUAAUUUACUUUAUUCUUUCUUUCAAAUCGUUCUGUGUAAAGAAGCUGGUUUGUGUUGGGAUCCAGAGAGGGUUGGCUGGUUAUUAAUAUCUUUUUGCGGGGGGGAAGGAACUUUUGUCACAUGUAUUUUGUUGUAUUUAUUGCUUCAUUUGUAUAAAUAAAUGAUAUAUAUUUUUUUUUUUUUUUGUGAUAUAUGAAGUUUUCUUCUCCCUGAUUACAUUAGUUUGUUUUUUUUGGUCACCCUUGUUGGAGGUAAGAGUGGACUAGUUACAAGUAGAAUCCAGAUAAAUGAGUUAUCCAUGUAUGCAGAACGAACCCCAUGUGGAGAGGAGAGUGAUGGUCUCUCCUCCAUCUGAAAACUCACUACAGGUUUAAUGUGAUUCAACAUUAGACCAUCUGAAACAAUCAUGAGACUUACAGUGAACAAGUGUGUUAUUUUUGUUCUACUUUAUGUUUUAUAUGUUAAGCUGAGAACCUUUUCCUGAACCGAUCAAAUGAAAUAUUCCACAAUGCAAAUGAGCUGAUCCGAUUACUUUGAGUGCACAUCCUUCUGCGCAUGCCUACUUUAGAUGUAUCGGGACUGAGUCGUCAGAAUACAAAAAGGCAGUGGUGGCGAAAUCAAACUGGAGUGCAAUGGAGACAUAUUAAUCGGUAUUUUAAAAGAACAGAGUGGAUGUGGGCUUUCAAGAAGCCCCUGAUGUGGAGACCUCAGAUGAGGCUAAUGUUAGCGUUUCUGGUAAGUUUCUUUAGCAUCACUUCAUGGCCUCUUUACUAGCAUCAGGGAAAGAAUUAAGUCAGUUAACCUAAACUAUCAAUACAGCGAUGUACUACUUCUGAAUUACAAGUGAAAGUAUUCCAGGAAAUGCUACUUUACUAAAAGUUCAUAAUGAUAAAAGUACUAGUUUGAUCAGACAAGCUGUGUGUGUCAUGUCACAAAAUGAUUCCGACUGAAAGCGUCAGCACAUGUAAACACCAGAUCAGUUUAGAUAGCAUCCCAUGUAAACAGUCAACUGGAAUCCAUCAAUCAGAAUGGCAAAAAAGUGUGUAUGUAAACGGGCUAGUAUUGAUUAACAACAGCUCCUCAUGAUUACUUGACUAGCAGUCUCUUCUGAAAUCUAGAUGGGUAAGGAUUUGGUAAUACUUCACUCAUUACUAAAGGGUUACCAUGAUCUUUACUUUAUAAUUAAUUAUACAUUAUGCAUUAUUCACAUUAAUUAUGAACCUGUAUAUAGUAGUUUUUAGUAGUUCUCUGGGAGGUAUGAAAAAAAUAGUAGUUACCGAUUAGCUAAUAAUGAACUACCACCUUCAACUGAGCACUAUUACUUACUAACUCAUUAAUCAGAGUUUCUUGUUAGUUAAUAGUAGGCAGUAGAAUGUUAAUAAUGCAUUACUCAUUUGUUCCUGUGCAGUUAUUCAUUAAUGAAGGAUCAGUAUUCUAAAGUGUUACCAAACAGAUGAAACCAGUGAAUUUUCCACUUUACAUUAUCUCAAUAUCAAAUCAGGCGAUUUCAGGUGAAGUCUAUAUGCAUCACUCUUCUUCUGUGCAAAUGAGUUUGUUAAAACACUGUUGCAAUGGCUGACCUUAAAAUAAUUUAUCAUAAACCAAGGUUCAAGUGCCCUACAAAAGGGAACACUGAUCACAAUGGUGACUUCACAUUUUAAACAUUUCAAACUGACAAGAGCUAAACCUCUGAAUCUGAAUAAACAGCUUUUAGACAUAAACUUGCUUUUAUUAAGUUAUUAUGGGAACAAGUUGUUUUAAUCGUCCUGUCAUGAGGUAUUAAGAGGUUGAAUUAUAUCCAAAGCUGUAUUGUGUGUGUGUUGACUUUACAUCGGUUGUGUAUCUAAACUGUUCAUUAACAGCAGGUGUUCAUCACUAAUGGUCAAUCAUCACUUGUAAAGUGAACCAUUUAAUGAACUGCAUGAACAAUUCAACAGCUGACGCUACAAAGAGUAGAUCCUACACUGCUUCAGUGUUAGUUUUUAACACCUGUGGAUGAGACUCAUAUAUACUCCAGGGUUGUUAAUUUAACACUGGAGAUUUUGUUGUGCUUCUAAAAAUGCGUCUGACACACAUAAAGCUGAAAUUAUUAUCAAAAGAGUAACCAAUUGCUAUUGGAGCCUCUAUGUGCACAUUAAUGCAGACAAAACAUCUAUUUUCUAUGUAAAACACAUCUCAGUUUGUAUUAAUUACAUCAAAAUGUUUGUAAUUAUUGGUAAAAACUAAAUGAAACACUGAUAUUCAUAUCUAGCCUACAUGUGCGUUCUUUUGUAUUCACAUAUAACUGCAGAUUGUAUUUACUAAAGUCAAGAGUGUGAAAAGGAGUGCUGAUUUAAACUUGCAAUACAGUCAUGUGACAAUUUAAAACAUUUAUUGUUGCAUAAUGUGAUCUGUUUCACACAUACUAUUAAGAAACGGGCAGAUACAGUAUAUACUGUACUGAAUUUAGUAAGCAGCUCCAUUCUGAACAAAACCACAGUUUCUCGAUCGGAUGUGUGAUCAUAAGAGAGAGUUUAUGAGGACAAUGAUGUUCA